rnacentral:rRNA from 1 species
AACGAACGCUGGCGGCAUGCCUAACACAUGCAAGUCGAACGAGACCUUCGGGUCUAGUGGCGCACGGGUGCGUAACGCGUGGGAACCUGCCCUUAGGUUCGGAAUAACUCCCCGAAAGGGGUGCUAAUACCGGAUAAUGUCUUCGGACCAAAGAUUUAUCGCCUUUGGAUGGGCCCGCGUUGGAUUAGCUAGUUGGUAGGGUAAAAGCCUACCAAGGCGACGAUCCAUAGCUGGUCUGAGAGGAUGAUCAGCCACACUGGGACUGAGACACGGCCCAGACUCCGACGGGAGGCAGCAGUGGGGAAUAUUGGACGAUGGGCGAAAGCCUGAUCCAGCAAUGCCGCGUGAGUGAUGAAGGCCUUAGGGUUGUAAAGCUCUUUUACCCGGGAUGAUAAUGACAGUACCGGGAGAAUAAGCGCCGGCUAACUCCGUG